rnacentral:rRNA from 1 species
UACAGAGGGUGCGAGCGUUAAUCGGAAUUACUGGGCGUAAAGCGCGCGUAGACGGUUUUGUAAGUCAGAUGUGAAAUCCCUGGGCUCAACCUGGGAACUGCAUUUGAAACUGCAUGGCUAGAGUAUCGAAGAGGAAAGCGGAAUUCCACGUGUAGCGGUGAAAUGCGUAGAGAUGUGGAGGAACACCAGUGGCGAAGGCGGCUUUCUGGUCUGUAACUGACGCUGAGACGCGAAAGCGUGGGGAGCAAACAGG